GUCUUCAUAGGGCGUCAUCCCCUAGUGGACAUCUUAUCUCGUCUUCAUAGGGCACUAUCCCCUAGUCGACAUCUUACUUCGUCUUCAUAGGGCGCCAUCCCCUAGUUGACAUCUUAUUCGUCUUCAUAGGGCACCAUCCCCUAGCUGACAUCUUACUCGUCUUCAUAGGGCGCCAUCCCCUAGUAGACAUCUCAUUUCGUCUUCAUAGGGCGUCAUCCCCUAGUUGACAUCUCAUUUCGUCUUCAUAGGGCGCCAUCCCCUAGUUGACAUCUUACUCGUCUUCAUAGGGCACUAUCCCCUAGUCGACAUCUUAUUUCGUCUUCAUAGGGCGCCAUCCCCUAGUUGACAUCUUACUCGUCUUCAUAGGGCACUAUCCCCUAGUCGACAUCUUAUUUCGUCUUCAUAGGGCGCCAUCCCCUAGUUGACAUCUUACUCGUCUUCAUAGGGCACUAUCCCCUAGUCGACAUCUUAUUUCAUCUUCAUAGGGCGCCAUCCCCUAGUUGACAUCUUAUUUCGUCUUCAUAGGGCACCAUCCCCUAGUUGACAUCUUACUCGUCUUCAUAGGGCACUAUCCCCUAGUCGACAUCUUAUU
rnacentral:lncRNA from 1 species